CAGGGUGUAGCUCAGUGGUACAGUCCUUGCCUAGCAGACACAGGAUCCUGGGUUUGAUCCCCAGCACCAUGA
rnacentral:tRNA from 1 species